CGAUACUUCAUGGUCCUCAUUGAC
rnacentral:siRNA from 1 species